rnacentral:rRNA from 1 species
ACUUUCAGCAAUGGAUCUCUUGGCUCUGGCAUCGAUGAAGAGCGCAGCAAAAUGCGAUAAGUAAUGCGAAUCGCAGAUUUCCGCGAGUCAUCGAGUUCUUGAACGCACAUUGCGCCCGCCGGUAUUCCGGCGGGCAUGCCUGUCCGAGCGUCAUUA